rnacentral:tRNA from 1 species
AUUUAUAUAGUUUAAAUAAAACAUUAUAUUUUCAAUAUAAAAAUAAAAAUUUAUUUUUUAUAAAUA